rnacentral:tRNA from 1 species
GCCCGGGUGGCGGAAUUGGUAGACGCGCUAGCUUCAGGUGCUAGUGACUGUAUGGUCGUGGAGGUUCAAGUCCUCUCCCGGGCACCA